GCAAGAAUGUGGAGGCUUAGAAAAUUUUAAUUGGGAUGGCAAUGAACAAGACCCAUUUUCUUCAAAGCCUGUGAUUUUCUAUGGAGCACCUGUGCAUCCUUCCUGUGUGUGACUACAAAGCAAAUAACGACUGGAAUCAUGGAUCUCUCGUCUUGUCAAUGAGGAAACCUGGGUCCUGAGAAAUUCAGUGACUUGCUCAAGUUCCCGUACAUUGAGAAGCAGAGCAGGGGCUCUUGAGCUCCCAAACCUUUCCUCCUUCCAGGACACCCCAAGCUCCCACCUGCUAUGCAAACACUGAAGACUUCAGCUGUUUCUUGUCCAUCAUACGAGAUCCCAUGACCCAGAGCUUCAAACUUCAAACACAGCAGUGUGCCUCUUCAAAUUCUUUCCAGAAAGUGCUUCCUAUUGGUUGUGACAGUUGCCUUGUGAAACCCAGCAGCAAUACCAACAAUGAGUCAAGGCCAUGUAUUAUCAACCUUUGCCCUAACCCUGUCCUGACUGAGAUUUCAGAGUCAGAACCUGGGGAGUCUGAGUUCUUCUCAGCCCCAGCGGUAUUAUCCUCAGAACAAAUCAACUUGCUAUUAUAUGUAACAAGUAUGGGCUGCCAGUUAACGGAGGGAUGAAGGGAAACUGGAGACUUAUUCUAUGUCAUUGAAAAUCCAGUGGACUCAUCGUCUGGGAUUGGAAGUCCAGGUGACUGAUACCGGUGUUGCUGUCUAUUCAGGUAAAAUUUAGACCGAUUUUUGCUUUUUUCCUCCAUCUAACAAAAUCUAUGUGUCACACAACUCUGCAACUGUCAGUCUAUGAACAAAUGAUUCUAAAUGAAAUAGGGUGGUUUUACAAACAAUGAGAGUUCCAGAGGUACAAGUUAAGCUCAGAUUAUAGAGGAAGGAGUCUUAUUGAAAUGAAAGUAUUUAAAUAUGUCAGAAUUUUAUGAUUUUGCAGCAUGAUUUCCACUUUAAAGUGCUCAAAAUUUAUCUUAGGAAUAAAAAUGUAUUGUAUUUUGAUUUCUGUGUGAUU
rnacentral:lncRNA from 1 species